rnacentral:rRNA from 1 species
CAAGCGGUGGAGCAUGUGGUUUAAUUCGAUGCAACGCGAAGAACCUUACCUACUCUUGACAUCCAGCGAACUUUCCAGAGAUGGAUUGGUGCCUUCGGGAACGCUGAGACAGGUGCUGCAUGGCUGUCGUCAGCUCGUGUUGUGAAAUGUUGGGUUAAGUCCCGCAACGAGCGCAACCCUUAUCCUUUGUUGCCAGCGAUUCGGUCGGGAACUCAAAGGAGACUGCCGGUGAUAAACCAGAGGAAGGUGGGGAUGACGUCAAGUCAUCAUGGCCCUUACGAGUAGGGCUACACACGUGCUACAAUGGCGCAUACAAAGAGAAGCGACCUCGCGAGAGCAAGCGGACCUCACAAAGUGCGUCGUAGUCCGGAUCGGAGUCUGCAACUCGACUCCGUGAAGUCGGAAUCGCUAGUAAUCGUGGAUCAGAAUGCCACGGUGAAUACGUUCCCGGGCCUUGUACACACC